AAUGAAGCGCCAUGGAGGGUGAGAGCCCCGUCCAUCCCGCACAGGAUCCAUUCGUACAAGGACGCUUCAACCGAGUCGGGUAGCUUGGGAAUGCUGCUCUAAUUGGUGGUAAAUCUCAUCAAAGGCUAAAUAGUGGUGGGAGACCGAUAGCGAACAAGUACCGUGAGGGAAAGAUGGAAAGAACUUUGAAAAGAGAGUGAAAAGCACUUGAAACCGUCACGGGGGAAGCGGAUUGCGUGAGUGAUGGUGUCGCUUGUUCAGCGCUUUAUUGCGUGCAUUCUGGCGGCGCCGUGCCGGCGUGGCUGGCUGGACUGUGAUUUUGACAGUCUCGGCUGGUGAGGGCUCCCUCGUAUGAGGUGAGGACGCGGGCAAAAUGACGCAAUACGACCCGUCUUGAAACACGGACCAAGGAGUCUAGCACGGCUGCGAGUCGAAGAGUGAUUAAACUCAAGGGCGCAGUGAAAGCGAAAUUAUAAGCAAAUUGGGGAGGCGUUGCGUUUUUAACAAAAUGUCCUACCUCGAGCAUUUGUGCUGGGACCCGAAAGAUGGUGAACUAUGCCGGAGUAGGGCAAAGCCAGAGGAAACUCUGGUGGAGGCUCGUAGCGAUGCUGACGUGCAAAUCGCUCGUCGAACUUGGGUAUAGGGGCGAAAGACUAAUCGAACCAUCUAGUAGCUGGUUCCCUCCGAAGUUUCUCUCAGGAUAGCGGGCCGACACGCGUUUGUUGUUUUGUGCGGUAAAGCGAAUGAUUAGUGCAUUUGGGGUACGAAGUACUUCGGGCGAUUCUCAAACUUUAAAUGCGCAAGGGGGUGGCUGCUUAAUUGAGCCUACUCUUUGAAAAACGUCGGCCCUGUGGGCCACUUUUGGUAAGCAGAACUGGCGAUAAGGGAUGAACCUUAAGCGCGGUUA
rnacentral:rRNA from 1 species